rnacentral:rRNA from 1 species
CAGCAGGCGCGAAAACUUUACAAUGCCGGCAACGGCGAUAAGGGAACCUCGAGUGCCAGGUUAUAAAUCUGGCUGUCGUGAUGCCCAAAAAGCAUUGCAUAGCAAGGGCCGGGCAAGACCGGUGCCAGCCGCCGCGGUAACACCGGCGGCUCGAGUGGUAACCGUUAUUAUUGGGUCUAAAGGGUCUGUAGCCGGCCGGAUAAGUCUCUUGGGAAAUCCAGCAGCUCAACUGUUGGGCUUCCAGGAGAUACUGUCUGGCUCGAGGCCGGGAGAGGUGAGAGGUACUUCAGGGGUAGGGGUGAAAUCUUGUAAUCCUUGAAGGACCACCAGUGGCGAAGGCGUCUCACCAGAACGGACCUGACGGCAAGGGACGAAAGCUAGGGGCACGAACCGGAUUAGAUACCCGGGUAGUCCUAGCCGUAAACGAUACUCGCUAGGUGUCGGCCACGGUGCGACCGUGGUCGGUGCCGUAGGGAAGCCGUGAAGCGAGCCACCUGGGAAGUACGGCCGCAAGGCUGAAACUUAAAGGAAUUGGCGGGGGAGCAC